rnacentral:rRNA from 1 species
GAAUAAGGAUCGGCUAACUCCGUGCCAGCAGCCGCGGUAAUACGGAGGAUCCAAGCGUUAUCCGGAAUCAUUGGGUUUAAAGGGUCCGUAGGCGGCUUUAUAAGUCAGUGGUGAAAUCUCCCCGCUCAACGGGGAAACGGCCAUUGAUACUGUAAGGCUUGAAUUAUUAGGAAGUAACUAGAAUAUGUAGUGUAGCGGUGAAAUGCUUAGAGAUUACAUGGAAUACCAAUUGCGAAGGCAGGUUACUACUAAUUGAUUGACGCUGAUGGACGAAAGCGUGGGUAGCGAACAGGAUUAGAUACCCUGGUAGUCCACGCCGUAAACGAUGGAUACUAGCUGUUGGGAGCAAUCUCAGUGGCUAAGCGAAAGUGAUAAGUAUCCCACCUGGGGAGUACGUUCGCAAGAAUGAAACUCAAAUGAAUUGACGGG